rnacentral:sRNA from 1 species
GUUGGGUGUGGUGGCUCAUACCUGUAAUCCCAGCUACUUGGGAGGCUGAGGCAGGAGAAUCACUUGAACCCAGGAAGCAGAGGUUGCAGUAAGCUCUGAUUGCACCACUGCACUCCAGCCUGGGCAACAGAGUGAGACUCCGUCUCAAAAAAAAAAGCUGGGUCCAGUGGCAUGCCUACCCAAGAGACUGAGGUGGUAGGGUCACUUGAACACAGCAGUUCAAGACUGUUUUAUGAUCAUGCCUGCGAACAGCUACUGCACUCCAGCCUGGGGAACAUAGUGAGACCCUGUCUCU